rnacentral:lncRNA from 1 species
AAAUUGAAAAAAAAAAAAAAAAAAAACAUUAAAUGAAAUUUAAAAAGUAUAUUAAAUUAAUGUAAAAAAUGAAUUUAAACUAAAUCAUUUAAGAUUGAAGUUAAAUUCAGUUUGAUUCUUCAUUUCAACAGUGUUUACAAAAAACAUUUAUUAAUUCAAUGAUCAAAAUAAAAAUUUUUUUCAUCAGAUUAUUAAAAUGUUAUCACAUUGGAGCAAUAUUGGAAUACUUCUUAUUGCUCUUAACAGAAAAUAUCUCUGAAAUACCAGAACACACCCUAUGUACAGACACACUAUGCAAGUGGAAUAAUUCUGGAGGCAAGAAAAUUACAGAUGUUAAAAAUCAAUCAUUGAAGAUUAAUGUAAGUUAUUUGAAAGAUUGCUUUUAAUUAUUUACAUACUAAUUCAGCUUUUAAGUUAUUGAAGUUCCUUCUUUUAAUUUCUAUAUUUCAUUCUUUUUUUAGCCUCAAUUUUAUCAACUUCAUCUUUUGAAAUAGCAGAAAACAUUUUCUCCUUCAGCAUCCAUAUAUUGUGAAGUAGAACUUCCACAGACAUGGGAAUUGAAUCCUGCAAAUUAAAAAAAUACAUUUAGCCCAAUGUAUUUAUAAAAAUCUGUGCAACCACUUAUUAUAAUUUGCAGAAAGUUAAGUUUCGUUUCUUGCUUUCUUUUUUCCAUUAUCUACUCUUUUAGCCUCUUC